GCCAUGCCGAAGUGAGCGCUAGAAGAACAUUGCUCAAAUGAGGGGCAAGAUUCCCGAGUUUUUCAAGAGGGAUGAUAAUGGCAAACUGCGCAUGCAUCUCUACAUCAGCCAGUCACCUUUGGAGACGCAUGCAUCUUAGGAGUUGAUCCUGGGGCCGGAGAAGACGAUCACAGUGUUUUUUGCUGCACGACGGUGGCAAAGCUGGUGUCUACACAAGUUCACUCGGAACAAAGCCUGCAGACAAUGGCCAUGCUUAGGCGAAAGCCUGGCCGGGGAGAUGCCACUUUCUCUAGGAGUUGUAGCGACAAGAUCGCAAGAUGGAACGUUUUGGGAGUUCACUCCUGGAUCAAACACUGUAUGUAGGAGCUCUCUUGUCCUUGUUCCUCAACGAACCAGGAUACAUCUCGACGGUUACUGUUGCUAGGAGCACGAAAGCAUCGUGUGCUCAGUGGCACGGAAUCUAGAAGCUCCUUACAGACUCAACCAGGUAAGACUUUGUGAAAUGCUUUUGUAAUCCUCGUAUGCAGCCAGUGAUUUGGCUCGCACCAACACCUCCGGAGGAUUACAUGCUCUAUCCAAGUGGAUUGCCUGCGGGUUUGGCUUU